UAGGACUCUCGGCAAUGGAUAUCUGGGCUCUUGCAUCGAUGAAGAGCGCAGCGAAAUGCGAUACGUGGUGUGAAUUGCAGAAUCCCGUGAACCAUCGAGUUUUUGAACGCAAGUUGCGCCCGAGGCCAAUUGGCUAAGGGCACGUCCGCCUGGGCGUCAAGC
rnacentral:rRNA from 1 species